rnacentral:lncRNA from 1 species
UUUAAAAAAAGUCUCCACAUAGUAACCUAGCAAAUUUUGUUAUUGAAAGUGUAUUUGGAUCUCUUUCAUUUUAUAUUUUAUAUGUAGUAGAGCUUUGUUAUUGAAUUUUGAAUGUCAUUUUCUUUCUUUAUUAGAACAAAUUCUUAUUCUAAGUUCUACUGUUUACAGUUUGGAGGGAUUAACAUUACCAUAGAAAACUUUUACCAAUUGAAACAUAACAUC